rnacentral:rRNA from 1 species
GAUGAACGCUAGCUACAGGCUUAACACAUGCAAGUCGAGGGACCGGCGCACGGGUGAGUAACGCGUAUCCAACCGGCCCAUAAGUAGGGUAUAACCCGAAGAAAUGCGGACUAAUCCACUAUGGCAGCUGUGGGGGAUGCGUCCGAUUAGCUUGUUGGUGAGGUAACGGCUAACCAAGGCUUCGAUCGGUAGGGGUUCUGAGAGGAAGCCCCCCCACAUAGGAACUGAGACCCGGUCCCAACGCCGACGCGAGGCAGCAGUGAGGAAUAUUGGGCAAGCGGCGAGAGCCUGAACCAGCCAAGUAGCGUGCAGGAGGACUGCCUAUGGGUUGUAAUCUGCUUUUAUGCGGGGAGCGGUACCGCAUGAAUAAGGACCGACUAAUUCCGUGCCAGCAGCCGCGGUAAUAC